CCAGCAGCUGCGGUAAUUCCAGCUCCAAUAGCGUAUAUUAAAGUUGCUGCAGUUAAAAAGCUCGUAGUUGGAUUUCUGACAUUAAUGCGCUUGGCCCGCCACGGUUACGUGUGUGAGUGCCGAGUCGUGUUUGUCAUCCUUCUAGAAAAUGUUAGUUUGCUCUUCAUUGAGUUUAAUUAUCACGAUCUAGAUCUUUUACUUUGAAAAAAUUAGAGUGUUUAAAGCAGGCGUUUGCUAUGAAUACAUUAGCAUGGAAUAAUAAUUUAGGACUUUGGUUCUAUUUUGUUGGUUUCUAGAACUGAAGUAAUGAUUGAUAGGGAUAGUUGGGGGUGCUCGUAUUCAGUGGCCAG
rnacentral:rRNA from 1 species